AGACGCGGGGUCAGCGGCUCAGAGCGCGGCUGUGUGGGGCUGCGGGGCUCCCGCCAUGCCCGCUGGGGUAGGUCCUGCGGACCCCGGCCACUGGAGCCACUCAUCAUUUCCGACGGAUGGGCCGGAGGGGCCGCCGGCCGCCCCAGCCAGGGUCUCGGUAGCCUGCAAGGAGAGAAAGAGGGCGCGGAAUUGGAAGCAGUCGUCACCCGGAGGCCUGGGCGUGCAAGCACCGAAGCUCUGGCUGGCCCUGAGCCUCCCCACCCCACCCGCUCUUUUCGCUGGAACGCGUGUACUUUGGGCAGUUGCUGACGUGGAGACAGGACGUAUGUCUUCAUAUUUUAGUAAAACCCAAUGCCCUCUGCCUCUCUGAUUAUGUUCUUUAAGUUAUCGCCAGUUCCAAUUUGUAUUUCUUGGAAACGGUUGGGUCUUCCCUCACUUUUCAGUAUUUUCAUGUAGACUCAAAUACUCUGGAUUAAUAUUUGUAUUUGCCCAAACCAUCACGAGCACCUCUUACCCUGAUGGGCAAUACUUCAGUGUGCUGCGUUCUGGCCACAGAGCAAACAGGGUGCUCCCAGGCACUGCCCUCUCGGAUUUCUUGCCUUGUUAUUUAAUCAUUAAGAUCGUGACCUAUGAGCAGGACUGUUUCCAGCCAGCACAUACACAUGUCCUCUCCUGGCCAGCAUCCAUGCUGAUUAGACGGUGCCCCUGCCAUACUAGCUGCCUAAUAUUUCAGAUACCCCACCCCGUGUGUGUGUGUAAAUCAUGUCACUGCCCUCUUUGUAGCUAAUGACAAAAUUCCAAGAGUCACCAUUAGCCUAGCACAUUAUGCCUGUCUCAUUUCUGCCCACUUUGGAGCACUCGGCUUCUCUGCUGUUUUCCUCCAGAGCACACUGAAACACUGCCAUAGCACAGCAGGGCAUAGAAGACAGGCUCAUGCUCCCCUGGACGCUCAGGCCUUCACCUCGGGCACACUAGGUCUUGUCAUUCCAUGUCAAGAAUAGCUCUUCACUGCCCUCACCCACCCAAGAAUGGCUAAAAUUAAAAGGACUGACAAUACCUAGUUUGUCGAGGAUGUCACAGCUGGAACCCUCAUACAUGGCUCAUGAAAUUGAUAAAACCACAUUGGCAAACUGGUAGUAUUUACAAAACCUAAACAUAUGAAUACCUGAUGACCAACUAAUUCCUCAACUCACCCAAGAGAAAUGAGAGCUUAUGUGUACCAGAAGACAUGAACAAAACUACCCACAGCAGCUUUCUUCCUGAUGGCCCCAAACUGGAAAUGAUCCAGAUGUCCAUCCAUAGGAAAAAAAGAUUUUAAAAAGAAAGUAUGGCAUGUUCACAGAGAGGAAAUUCUGUACAACAAUGGAAAUGGGCACACAACCACAACCCACAACAAUGUGGAUGAAGUGUACAAUGAAGUCAGACCCCAGAAUGUACAGACAAUUCCAUGUGUGUGAUGUUCAAAACCAGGAAAGCAAAUCCAUCAUGACACAGGCUGGGGAUGUGAAGGAAACUCCAGCCACCCUGCCCCUGUGCUCUGAGUAACAAGGCCUAGAUCCCAAUCCUUGCUCUGCCUCUUAUCAGAGACAGGUAUCAGACAAGUUGCCUAACUUUUCUGAGCUUCAGUUUUAUGUCUAAAAUAAUGAUAACCAUAGAACCAAUCCCAAGGAAGUUUCAGAAGAUCAAAUAUGAAAGAGCAUGAAAGGUGCUCAAAAACCAGGGACUGUCAUGGUAGCUCACAUCUGUAAUCCCAGCACUUUGGGAGGCCAAGGUGGGAAGAUCUCUUGAGCCCAGGAGUUUGAGACCAGCCUUGGCAACGUAGUGAGACCUCAUCUCUGCAAAAAAUUUAAAAAUUAGGCAUGGUGGCACAUGCCUGUGGUCCCAGCUACUUGGGAGUUUGAGGUGGGAGGAUCACUUAAGCCCAGGGGGUUGAGGAUGUAAUGAGCCAUGAUUCCAUCCAGCCCGGGUGACAGGGCCAGACCCUGUCUCAAGGAAAAAAAAAAAAAAAGCCAGACAGAGUCCAGCACACGUCAGUUUGUGACGUGAGUGUGCUUCAGGCUGGAAGUUUGGCCACUACCACUGCCUGUUUUAGGCUUUUGUUUCCAAAGCCCCCAAGUAGAGGGAAAGAGGAGCAGAAUGAGAUCUUUGUGAACCCAAGGUAAUGGGUACCCAAGCCAAACCCACAGAACCUCCUUGAUCCCAGGGAGAGAGUUGCAGGUUCCUCCCAGAUCACACCUCCCCAGGCAGCCUAUACCCAGACAGAAGCAGGGUUCCUGGGCACAGUUGUGUGGUUUCUUCACUAAUCAAGGGUCCCUUGCCAAGAACACAAGUGAGGCUUGCAUUUAUCCUGUGCUCAGCUAACCAAGUCAUGCACCCCAGCCUGGGCCUUAGCCUGCUCCAAAGCAGCGCCAUAUGUGAACUUACACAGGAGCACCCUGGGCUAGUGGUGGCCCUGCAGAGAGGCCUGACACCUGAGCAGCAGAAGCUACCACCAGACCAGAGGGGACCAUCAACCUGGCUAGACAGGGCAGAGAAGCAGUGGGCCACUGAGGCAAACAGCCUCACUUUCACCUGCUAAUGGCUCCUUCCAACUGCGAGAGUUGCUUGACCCAUGUGUGGGGACAGCCAUCAGCAGUGACAGGGUGGGGUGAAUGUUCCAGCCACUCCACUCUGCAGUCAGGACAACUUCAGGACAUGUUCUGCACUGGCUCCUGGCAUCCCCCGCAGGAUGGCUCCAGCCGCCUGUGUCCUGACCUUCUUGGUCAUGCCUGUAGUUCCGCCUCCUGUUGUUCGAGGCCAUCCUGACUAACACGGUGAAACCCCGUCUCUACUGAAAAUACAAAAAAUUAGCCGGGCAUGGUGGUGCAUGCCUGUAGUCCCAGCUACUGGGGAGGCUGAGGCAGGAGAAUCACUUGAACCCGGGAGGCAGAGGUUGCAGUGGGCUGAGAUCAGGCCACUGCAUUCCAGCCUGGGCAACAGAGCGAGACCCCGUCUCAAAAAAAGAACACUGAGUACACCGUAAGGGAUGGCGAGGAUGUGGCACAGGGGGACUCCUUCAUCCGCUCUGGAAAAUGUGGCAGUUUCUCCUCUGAUGCAACAUGUGCUUAACAUGUGACACAGCAGUCCCACUUUUAGGUAUUUAAAGGAAUGAAAACUUAUGUCCACACAAAAAAUCACACAGAUGUUUAUAGUGAUUUUAUUGAUAAAGUGUCCAACUGGAAACUGCAAGUAUUCUUUCUGGGGACACAGAUACAUUGUGGUGCCUCCACCCUGUGAAUCCUGCUCAGCAAUCCGAGGGAUGAGCGGUUGAUUCAGGCAACACCGCGGAUGGAUCUCAGGGCAUCGUGCUGAAGUCCCACAUUCUAGCAAGGUGCUGCUUCCUGCAGAUGGGCAAACACUGGUCCUUGGCAGGUAGGGGGAAACACAUCUUGCCUUUUUUUGGAGACAGGGUGUCCCACUGUCACCCAGGCUGGAGUGCAGGGGUGUGAUAGUGGCUCACUGCAGCCUCAACCUCCUGGGCUCAAGCAAUCCUCCUGCCUCCUCCUGAGUAGCUGGAACUGUCUUCCUCUCUUGAAGUAGGAAGCACAGGUAUACACACAGUACACAAACAGUAUGUCUGUGGUGGUAGAAUUUCACGAGGGUAUUGGAAAAACGUCUGAUGAGGCUCCUUGGAGGAGCAAUAAUUGUGCAUUAUUAGAGGAGCAAUAAUGCACAAAGGCUGAGCCGCACCCUGCCAAAGGAGAAAGGCAGACAGACUCCCUGCUGGGAGAGCCCACUCCCCAGACGUUCUGGUUGAGGCUGAACUACGGGGUGGAGAGCAGAUCAGGGGCGCCAGGGGCUGGAGAUCUGGGGAGGCAGAGACUGCAGCGUCAGCAUGAAGGGAUUUUGAUGGGGGCUGGAGCACUCCAUGUCCUGAUGGUGCUUAUUUACAACCAUCUGUCAUCUCAGAACUGCACACACGGUAAAAUUUCACUAUAAAUAGCUUACACCUCAAAAACCUAACCAAACCCUUUUUAUUUUUUUUAAUUUCUUUUUUUUCGGGGCGGGGGGUGGGGGAAUGGAAUCUCUCAUUAUCGCCCAGACCGGAGUGCAGUGGUGCGAUCUCUACUCACUGCAACCUCUGCUUCCCGGAUUCAAGUGAUCCUCCUGCCUCAGCCUCCCACGUAGCUGGGAUAACAGGCACCCCCCAUCACCACCACCACCACACCCAGCUAUUUAUCUUUUUGAGACAACGUCUCAUUUUGUCGCGCAGGCUGGAGUGCAGUGGCACAAUCUCGGCUGACUGCAACCUCUGCCUCUCAGGUUUAAGCAAUUCUCCCACCUCAGUCUCCCGAGUAGCUGGGAUUACAGGCGUGCACCACCACACUCGGCUAAUUUUUGUAUUUUUUGGUAGAGACAGAGCUUCACCAUGUUGGCCAGGCUGGUCUUAAACUCCUGACCUCAAGUGAUCCCCCUGCCUCGGCCUCCCAAAAUGCUGGGAUUACAGGGGUGAGGCACUGCUCCAGCCCAAAUGCUUUUUAAAAGGAAGGAAAAAGAAGGACAGCUCAACCCUUUCUCACUAAAGGGCAAAGGACUGCUAGCUGGGCAUGUAAAAGUGUGCAUUUUCCUGAAGUGUGUUCUCUGGAAUCCUCUUCCCCAGAGAUGUUGAAACGGAGGUGCUUUGUUUAGUGCAGUGGCGGCAGAUGACAGCCACAGGACAGCUGCUCUGGGGGCCUUGGAAACUACAAAUGCUCAAACCCCCUCCCCAGGCCACAUCUCAGCGUGCGGGAACUGGGGUGUGCAUCUCUCCCAACAGCUUCCUGGUGACGCCAAGCUUCACACCCACCCAAUCCAUGGGAGCAAACCGACUGGACUGCAUGGCAGACGGUGGCCCACUGGCCAUUGCCUCUUUGCUUUGCUCAGGAACUGGGUGGAAUGUGCCCGGGGAAGGUAGCCCCAGAACUGCAGGGGAGCCACGACAGACUCAAGCCUCACGGAAACCCCUUUCCCUGGGCCAGAGUUGGUUCCUGGGUGGCGUGGGGCUGGCUCUGGCCAGUGAGGAGUCAGCCCCUGCUGAGGUUUCUGGGAAUUAUGUGUCUCCCAGGAGGAGAGGAAGACAGCUGAGGACACAGCAUCUCACUAGCCCCUCCUCACCCACCAGGUGCCAGGCCAGGUGUCACCUGAGCCAAGCAGCACACGACCGCCCCUGCCCACUUCCACCUCAGCCCUGACCCUCCCUGCACCUGGGAGUCCACCGCCUCCUGAUGUGUCUGUGAUCGGGGCAGCCCCAAGAGCACGUAUCCCGGGACAUGAUGUGUUGUGGUCUGUGUGGGGUCAGAGCCGUCAGUGUUCACUGCCGCGUGCCCAGUGCUUAGCACUGUUUGCCGCAUGGGAGAUGCAGGUCACAACCCGGUAGCGCCUAGUGGCCCGGGGGACACCUGGCUUGUCUGGGCCUGUUGGCUGACAGGUAGGAGGGACUGCCAUCCAUUGUUGGGGCAAAGGAUGCUGCUCAACCUCCCACAACGCAUGGAGCGGCCCGGCGCACGACUCACCCGGCCCCAAACACCAACUGUGCCGAGGUGAUGCCCUGCCCUGAGGCGAGCGUACAAGGCUUGAGCGUCGAGAACACUGCAAGGGUCUCAGCCAGUGAGGGGCUGCCUGGGCCCCGCCGCAGGCCUGACUCCUAGAGCCAAGCCGUUUUCUCCCUUCAGGCAGUGGGUAGGGCUCUCACAUGACGACCCUGGGUUUGCAGCUCGGCUGUGCACACAGGUGGACCCUCCGUGCUUUGUCAGUUCCUACUGCUUGGCCCUGGGGCCGGAAGCUGCUUCUCAGGCCUCACUCUGAGAAGCAUCUUCACAACCUGGGUAGGUCCAUUGCCUCUUUCCACCGACUCUGCUCCUUGACAAGGGCAUGUUCAUCAGCAGAGCCAGGCAGGGAGAGCUCAGGACAGCCAGACCUGGGGCCAGUGGCAUAGGUACGUGUGGGAAGGGGCACCAGGUGCCUGUCCUCCCUGCGGGCAGAGCCGUCUGUCCUCUGCAGACCUGCAGUUUCUGUAAACAUCCUGUAAGGAGCCAGGAAGCAGCAACUCCAGAUGCCCAGAGGAGCCCCAGCCAAGGCAGAUGCAGCCAGGGCAUCAGGCCGUGGGGCUGGGCAAGGUGAGCCACAGGCUGGAAAGGCAGGGGCGCACGGCAGAUGGGGAUGCGGAAGCCAGAUGCUGACCCAGCUCUACCCACAUUUGUGAGGGGCAUGGGGGCUGCGCCGUCAGAGGCCUUAGCUGGCUCCGGGCUUGAAAUGUGAGUCCCAAGAGCCCAAGUUUUAUUCCCACGUGGCCGCAGCAUGCCAGGCUUAGCCUCCCUGUGUUUCUGUAAAACAGCACCCUCGUGUUUUUAUAUGAGAACCGAAUUCAAGGUACUAGAAGUCCUCAUAUGGGAAGGGAAAAGUCGUGGUUUUAUAAGCAAUACACUCUGGCUGAGCCCAAGUUAAGAUUUCCAGUCCAAGUUCAUCAGCGCCUAGCUUCAGCCGGGACUGCUCUGGCCCCACUGCUGUGUGAGCUGGCGCUUCUGAUUCCACCCCACACUCGGUGAAAGGGUCCCAGAGCAACUGACACUGAGCGUCACCGGCGGCGGCUCUUCCUAGAGGAGCAUGUUCAGGAGAGGUGAGGCUGCGGGGCUGGGGCCCUGGGCUAAUACUCCCUGGCUGUGUGACCCUGGGCAAAUUACUCAGCCUCUCUGAGCUGCUGCUUCCUCUCCUGUGGAGUGGGCUGAUCCCAGCCACACCAGCACUCCUGGUUGUUCCGUGGUUAAUGUCUGCCAAACACGGUGCCAUGGAGAACACCCAGCAGAGCCCAGCUGCUUGUUUGCUGGGGAGGGACAGCGCUGCAGGGGCGCCUCCCCCUGGCCCUCCAGCACCUUUCCACCUUGCUUCCAGGACCUCCGCGGCUCAGAGGCAGUGCAGGUGGGCUUCAGGGACGGCAGGGAGGGCCCACGCCGGCACACAAGGAAGAAGGGAAGGCGCCAGGGAUCGCACCCCUCAGGAAGAAGAGGGACGGAGGCAAAGAUAGGAAGGACACGCAUUGUGCCUUCUGUCACUUGGGGAUUUUCAAGUCAAAAUGGGGAGGGGGCCGGGGUAGGUUUGGAAACUAUCCAAAUGGCAUUUUGUUUCACAUUGCUGGCUGGGGGCAAGCCCUCUGCAGUGACCCUACAUGCCCACUAGAGGUCACACCACAAAAGGGGACCUCCCCUAAGGAGGGGGGACAAACGGAGGACCCUGGGCACCGUGCCUCCUGCAAGGGGAGGAAGGAUGAAGCCCCGCCAUCCAUCGGGUGGGGAAAGCGCCAUGCCUCCGGCAGCACAGCCAAGCGGCCCCCACAGGGAGGAGUGAGCUCCAUAUGGGCCCAGGUGACCCGGCCACAACACCCUCUCGGCCUCCGCCUCACCUGCUGGUGUUGGGCAUGGCCAGCCUGGGCAGCCACCAGCCCUCGCUGCCCAUCUGCUGUCCCCUCAACCCCAGCAGCAGACAGAAAAGUGCAGGGUCUGAGCCCCCGGGGGGAUGCUGGUGUCGGACAGAUCCCUGGAGAACAAAGCCUGUGCCCUUGUGUCUAGGUGAGGCUGCGGCACCCAGGCCCGGAGCAGGUCCCCCCAGCUGGGCCAUCCCCACUCUUGGAGCAAGAGGGGAACUGCAGCAGGAAGCAGCCUUC
rnacentral:lncRNA from 1 species